rnacentral:lncRNA from 1 species
AUUCUGACCCUCUGCUAAUCAUCUGAUCCACGCAAUCUAAACUCACCUAUGGAACAAGAGACACCAGCACCAUCCAGCCCCUUUAUUGAUCAUCAUUCUUUGCCAGAGGAAUUGUGUGAAAUGAAUACAGAGUUUUGUGAGAAAGAUGUAACAUACUCACAAGUCAAAAUUUAUGACUCUUCAAACAUUCAGGAGACGAAAAAAAACAGGAUUUUAAAGAGAAGAGGAUCUCCAUGGUGCAUUGCUGCAGUGAUAUUUGCCUUGCUCUAUUUAAUUGCUCUGAUAAUAGCUUCAAUUAUGAUAGCUAAAGUUUCUUGUCUAGAAGGGAUUCUGAAUACAAAUGAAACCAGUCUGCAAAGAGGGGUUUCAUACUGCGAAAUAAUAUAGCUGAACAGGUAACUGGUCCUUCUCUGAAGAAAAUUGAUAUUUUACUUGUGCUGAAAAUAAAAUCUUGGCAACAAGGAAAAUGUUCUCAAGUACUGAGAUCCAGUCUAAUCAAGACACAUAACAAGGAAGAAUUGGAAAUAUAUGGCAUGAUAUUUCUUCCUAUAUUUUUUUGUGCAGAAGAUAAGUAUAGAGAUAUUUUUACAUCUUGAGUUCAUUCAAACAUGCUAAACUCUAUAUAUUAUAAUAUUUGGAGCUUUCUUAACCAAACCCAAAAUAUCAAAAUAUGGGCUUAAAUGAUUAUGUGAGGCUUAAAUUAUAAAUAUAUUUGCAUAGAAAAGUAAAUAUUGAUAUAUUACAAUUUCAGACCUUGGCAAAUGAAGGGGGGAUACCACAUAGAACAUAAAACUAAAGGCAUUCAGUCACAAUUAGCACUUAAGAAAUAUUUAACAUCUAUUGAUUUCUUCUAGUAUUCAUAUACUACUUGAAUAUAUCAUGUAUUAAAGCAUGUACUGCCCCAAUAACCUUAUUAUUGUUGUUGCCAAAUGAUAAAGAAGCAGGCCAAGAGAGGAUAAGAAAUCUUUCCAGAAUUGUCUAGCUAGUAAGAAUUAGAGACAUGAUUUAAGCCAAUAUUGCUUUACUCUAGAGAACAUGCAUCAAACCAUUACACCAUGCUGACCCUAAAAUAAAAAAUCAUAUCACAUCAAGUUGUAAGAAUAUUGCUUCUUUAGAAAUAUACAGAGCUAUAGAUUUACUUUUUUCCCCAGGAUAUAUAUUUCAGAGAGGAAUAAAUGAGAAAAAUAACUUCCAAGAAUGAAACACUAUACUAGUUCUUCAUGAAGAGUAACUUUUUAUACUAAUUAUCUUCUGGAAUAUUAAACAAAAAGAGAUUAAUAGAAGUGAUUUUUUUUCCCUUAGUAGAUUCUAGUGAGCUUUGAAAAUAUGUCUUUGUUUUUUAGUUCUCAUCUACUAUGUGGCUGUUUCCUCUGUAUUGUUUCUUCUUUUUCAUUGGAUUCGUGUUCUGUUAAUUGCCUUUAAUAAAGACUUCAUUCC